rnacentral:rRNA from 1 species
GAUGAACGCUGGCGGCGUGCCUAAUACAUGCAAGUCGAGCGAACAGACGAGGAUCUUGCUCCUCUGACGUUAGCGGCGGGCGUGUGAGUAACACGUGUAUAACCUACCUAUAAUACUGGUAUAACUUCGGAAAACCGGCUCUAAUCCGGUAUGAUCUAUUGAACCGCAUGGUUCAUUGGUAAAUUACGGUUUUUCUGUCACUUAUAGAUGGAUCCGCGCGGGAUUAGCUAGUUGUUAAGGUAACGGCUUACCAAGGCGACCAUGCGUAGCCGAACUGAGAGGGUGAUAGGCGACACGGGAAGUGAGACACGGUCAAGAGUCCUACGGGAGGCAGCAGUAGGGAACCUUCGGCAAUGGGCGAAAGCAUGACGGAGCAACGCGGAGUGAGUGAUGAAGGUCUUCGGAGCGUAAAAAUGUGUUACUAGGGAAGAACAAAUGUGUAAGUAAAUAUGGACGUCUUGACGGUAAUUAAUAAGAAAGCAACGGCUAACUACGUG